rnacentral:rRNA from 1 species
CCUACGGGUGGCUGCAGUGGGGAAUAUUGGACAAUGGGCGGAAGCCUGAUCCAGCAAUACCGCGUGUGUGAAGAAGGCCUGAGGGUUGUAAAGCACUUUCAAUAGGAAGGAAUACCUAUCCAUUAAUACUGGGUAGACUGACAUUACCUAUACAAGAAGCACCGGCUAACUCCGUGCCAGCAGCCGCGGUAAUACGGAGGGUGCAAGCGUUAAUGGGAAUUGUGGGGCGUAAAGCGUGCGUGGCCGGCUUGAAAGCCCCGGGCUUAACCUGGGAAUGGCAUUUGAUACUGGCGAGCUAGAGUUGAGGAGAGGGGAGUGGAAUUUCAGGUGUAGCGGUGAAAUGCGUAGAGAUCUGAAGGAACACCAGUGGCGAAGGCGACUCCCUGGACUCAAACUGACGCUGAGGUACGAAAGCGUGGGUAGCAAACAGGAUUAGAUACCCCAGUAGUC